rnacentral:rRNA from 1 species
UCGAGAAUCUUCGGCAAUGGGCGCAAGCCUGACCGAGCGACGCCGCGUGUGCGAUGAAGGCCUUCGGGUUGUAAAGCACUGUCGAGGGGGAUCAAAGCGCAAGCUUGAGAGAUCCCUGGAGGAAGCACGGGCUAAGUUCGUGCCAGCAGCCGCGGUAAGACGAACCGUGCGAACGUUGUUCGGAAUCACUGGGCUUAAAGGGCGCGUAGGCGGUCGGGCAAGUCCGGGGUGAAAUCCUGCAGCUUAACUGUAGAAGUGCCUUGGAUACUGCUCGGCUCGAGGGAGGUAGGGGUCUGUGGAACUUCUGGUGGAGCGGUGAAAUGCGUUGAUAUCAGAAGGAACGCCGGUGGCGAAAGCGGCAGACUGGACCUCUCUAACGCUGAGGCGCGAAAGCUAGGGGAGCAAACGGGAUUAGGAUACCCCGGUAGUCCUAGCCCUAAACGUUGAGCACUAGAUUGCAGACUAG